UUAAUUUUUUGAUUGGAAUAAGAAAAUAAAUAAUGCUAUCAUUUAAAACAGAAACCAAAUAACUAAAUCUUAUUCUUGAAUAUAUAUACACCUGUGUGUUAUUAAUAUAAAUAAAUGGUAUAAUUAGCUCGGUCCAUAAACAUUUAACUUUUCAACAGAAGUCUAAAUAUGAAAAAUUACCUGAAUAAAGCCAAUAAACGCUUAUUUCUUCUUUCUAUUUAAUGCAAAGACUCAACUUCUGGCAAGCUCUCACAGUGAAAGUUUCAAAAAAGAACAAAUAUAUCUCAAAAUACCCUUUGGAAUAUGUAAUAUCACUUAUUUUGCAUUUAAAAAUAAAACAAGAAUGUGUCCUCAGUACACAAAUGCCC
rnacentral:lncRNA from 1 species